AAGUUUUAUUAAGAGAAUUGUUUUUUAGAUUUAGUUAAGAUUUUUAAAGUUAGUAUUUUUUUUAGAAAAUAAGACUAUUUUACAAUAGAAAAUAGUACCGUAAGGGAAAUUUGAAAAAGUUUUUUUAAUUUGAAAAAGUUUUUUUAUUACCUUUUGUAUAAGGGUUUAGAAAGAAAAUUAAAGUAUUUUUAAUUCUCGAAGUUUAAAGAGCUAUUUUUGAUAUGGGAAAAUAUGUUUUAAAAUAUUUUUAAAAUCAAAAAUAGAAAUGAAAUGUUAUUCGUUUUAAAUGAUAUCUAGUUAUAAUAAAUUAACUAUAUGUUAUGCUAUAUAAUUAAUGAUACUUUAUUUUUUUAUAGUUUUAAUUUAUGGGAUAAGCUAUAGAUUAUAAAACUUUUAUUUAUUAGACUUAUAAAGAAAGGUUUGAAAUUUUCUAUUUUUUGUAAUAAAAAGUUUAGCAGUAUUUGUCGAUCAAAGAUGUAAAUUAUUUAUUUUAAUUAAUUUUAGUUAAAAGAAAUAAUGCUAGGAUUAGUAUAAAAGUUAAGUUUUUAAAAAAAAUGUUUUUUUUAGGAAAAACUAUACAAAUUUUAAGAACUCGGCAAUAGAAUUCCUGACUGUUUAUCAAAAACAUUGUAUUUUGUUAAUAAUAAGAUAUAUUACCUGCUCACUGCUUUAUGUAAAUUGCUGUGGUAUUUUGACUAUACGAAGGUAUUGAAAUAAGGCCUUAAAUAGGUGCUAAGAGAAUGGUGAAACAGGGAUUUUCUUUUUUAAAUUUGUUAAUAGAAGUUAAUUUUUAAGUGAAAAGGCUUAAAUAUUAUUUUGGGACAAGAAGACCCUAUGAAUUUUUAAAAAAAAUUAAGUGCUAUUUUUUUUAAAAAAGUUUAAAUUUUAGUUUUUUUUUUGAUUGGGGUGAUUUUUAAAGAUUAAACAUCUUUAAAAUUAUUAAUAGAUCCAUUAUUUAUGAUUAUUUGAUUAAAAUACUCUAGGGAUAACAGCGUAAUAAUUUUGGAUAGUUCUUAUAGAUAAAAUUGAUUGCGACCUCGAUGUUGGAUUAGGAUUCUUUUAUAGUGAAGAAGCUAUGAAAAAAAGUUUGCUCAACUUUUAAUAUCCUACAUGAUCUGAGUUCAGACCGACGUGAGUCAGGUUGGUUUCUAUCUAGAUAAUCUUAGUUUUUAUUUUAGUACGAAAGGAAUUUUUAAAAAAGUUUAACUUAUAUAUAUAUAUUUACUUUAAAAUUAAUUUUUUUUUAACUAGCUGUUAAAGGCUGUUUUAAUUGUAUCAAAUUUAGAACUUGGAUAACUU
rnacentral:rRNA from 1 species